UACGUAGGGGGCGAGCGUUGUCCGGAUUUAUUGGGCGUAAAGAGCUCGUAGGCGGUUCGGUAAGUCGGAUGUGAAAUCUCCACGCUCAACGUGGAGGGGCCAUUCGAUACUGCCGUGACUCGAGUCCGGUAGGGAGUGUGGAAUUCCCGGUGUAGCGGUGAAAUGCGUAGAUAUCUGGAGGAACACCGGUGGCGAAGGCGGCAUCCUGGACCGAGAUUGACGCUGAGGCGCGAAAGCCAGGGGAGCAAACGGG
rnacentral:rRNA from 1 species